rnacentral:rRNA from 1 species
UACGAAGGGGCUAGCGUUGCUCGGAUUGACUGGGCGUAAAGGGCGCGUAGGCGGUUCGUACAGUCAGACGUGAAAUUCCUGGGCUCAACCUGGGGCUGCGUUUGAUACGUGCGGACUUGAGUGCGGAAGAGGGUCGUGGAAAUUCCCAGUGUAGAGGUGAAAUUCGUAGAUAUUGGGAAGAACACCGGUGGCGAAGGCGGCGACCUGGUCCGAUACUGACGCUGAGGCGCGAAAGCGUGGGGAGCAAACAGG